GAUGAACGCUGACAGAAUGCUUAACACAUGCAAGUCAACUUGAAUUUGGGUUUUUAACUUAGGUUUGGGUGGCGGACGGGUGAGUAACGCGUAAAGAACUUGCCUCACAGCUAGGGACAACAUUUGGAAACGAAUGCUAAUACCUAAUAUUAUGAUAAUAGGGCAUCCUAUAAUUAUGAAAGCUAUAAGCGCUGUGAGAGAGCUUUGCGUCCCAUUAGCUAGUUGGAGAGGUAACGGCUCACCAAGGCGAUGAUGGGUAGCCGGCCUGAGAGGGUGAUCGGCCAAAAGGGGACUGAGAAACGGCCAUUACUCCUACGGGAGGAAGAAGUGGGGAAUAUUGGACAAUGGACCGAGAGUGUGAUACAGAAAUUCUGUGUGCACGAUGAAGUUUUGCGGAAUGUAAAGUGCUUUCAGUUGGGAAGAAACAAAUGACGGUACCAACAGAAGAAGUGACGGCUAAAUUCGUG
rnacentral:rRNA from 1 species